CCAAGGAUCAAGCCCCUCUCCUCCUCCCUGGGGCUUCGAUAGAAGACGGCGGCCUCGUCCUCCUCCCAGAGGCCGCCCGUCUUCGACCUGAUCCUGCCGCCCUCUCCUCCUCCCUGGGCGGCGGUGUGG
rnacentral:sRNA from 20 species